UACGUAGGGCGCAAGCGUUGUCCGGAAUUAUUGGGCGUAAAGAGCUCGUAGGCGGCCUGUUGCGUCCGCUGUGAAAUCCCGGGGCUCAACCCCGGGCCUGCAGUGGAUACGGGCUGGCUAGAGGCAGGCAGGGGAGAACGGAAUUCCUGGUGUAGCGGUGAAAUGCGCAGAUAUCAGGAGGAACACCGGUGGCGAAGGCGGUUCUCUGGGCCUGUACUGACGCUGAGAAGCGAAAGCGUGGGGAGCGAACAGG
rnacentral:rRNA from 1 species